GGAGCAUGUGCACGCCCACCAUUCUUACCUGUCCACCUGUGAACACUAUGUAGGUCUGGAUAACUCUCGCUUUCGGGCGGAUACAGGGAUUGUCACUUGCGGCUCUCCUUGAAUUUCCAGAUCUAUGUAUUUACAUACCCCAUUUGAAUGUUGAAGAAUGCAGUCAAUGGGCUUUAAGCCUAUAAAACAAUAUACAACUUUCAGCAACGGAUCUCUUGGCUCUCGCAUCGAUGAAGAACGCAGCGAAAUGCGAUAAGUAAUGUGAAUUGCAGAAUUCAGUGAAUCAUCGAAUCUUUGAACGCACCUUGCGCUCCUUGGUAUUCCGAGGAGCAUGCCUGUUUGAGUGUCAUUAAAUUCUCAACUUCAUCAUUUUUGUUGAAGCUUGGAUGUGGGGGUUGUGCAGAACACUUUGGUGGUCUGCUCCCCUUAAAUGAAUUAGCGAGUUCAAACUGAGCCCCGUCUAUUGGUGUGAUAAUUAUCUACGCUGUGGAUUGGACUUAGACUUGCUUCUAAACUGUCCGCAAGGACAAUUCUUGACAAUUUGACCUCAAAUCAGGUAGGACUACCCGCUGAACUUAAGCAUAUCAAUAAGCGGAGGAAAAGAAACUAACAAGGAUUCCCCUAGUAACUGCGAGUGAAGCGGGAAAAGCUCAAAUUUAAAAUCUGG
rnacentral:rRNA from 1 species